GUUCAUCUCACACUGGUUUAAGAUGAGAAUCCCUGAUAGAGCCUGCAGCAGCUGAAUGGCUCGGCUUCUCACUGCAGGGGUCAUUGUUGCAGUGGUCUGAGUGAAGGCUCCCCCCAACCUGAUUUGAAUAUGUUGACAUCUAAGCACCAAUGGGAUGGAGUUGGGAAAUGAGGCCUUUGAGCCUUGAUUAGGACAAGC
rnacentral:lncRNA from 1 species